UUCUUCUCAUGAGCUCCUCUCUGUCCAUCAGUGACGGUGUACGGAUUCGCACGAGAAGUAGAGCAAACAUCACAAGAAUCAGUCAGCUACCUCAGCCUCACUGGGAGCUGCUUCUAUCUGAUGUGGAACAGAC
ensembl:snoRNA SNORA75 Small nucleolar RNA SNORA75